rnacentral:rRNA from 1 species
AGAGUUUGAUCCUGGCUCAGAACGAACGCUGGCGGCAUGCCUAACACAUGCAAGUCGAACGAACCCUUCGGGGUUAGUGGCGCACGGGUGCGUAACGCGUGGGAAUCUGCCCUUUGCUUCGGAAUAACAGUUAGAAAUGACUGCUAGUACCGGAUAAUGUCUUCGGACCAAAGAUUUAUCGGCAAAGGAUGAGCCCGCGUAGGAUUAGCUAGUUGGUGGGGUAAAAGCUCACCAAGGCGACGAUCCUUAGCUGGUCUGAGAGGAUGAUCAGCCACACUGGGACUGAGACACGGCCCAGACUCCUACGGGAGGCAGCAGUGGGGAAUAUUGGACAAUGGGCGAAAGCCUGAUCCAGCAAUGCCGCGUGAGUGAUGAAGGCCUUAGGGUUGUAAAGCUCUUUACCAGGGAUGAUAAUGACAGUACCUGGAGAAUAAGCUCCGGCUAACUCCGUG